rnacentral:rRNA from 1 species
AGUGAACGCUGGCGGCGUGCCUAAUACAUGCAAGUCGAACGGAAUUUAAAAGAGCUUGCUCUUUUAAAUUUAGUGGCGCACGGGUGAGUAAUAUAUAGCUAAUCUGCCCCUUGCUGGAGGACAACAGUUAGAAAUGACUGCUAAUACUCCAUACUCCUUUUUACCAUAAGAUAAAUCGGGAAAGAAUUUCGGCAAGGGAUGAGACUAUAUCGUAUCAGCUAGUCGGUGGGGUAACGGCCUACCGAGGCUAUGACGCGUAACUGGUCUGAGAGGAUGAUCAGUCACAUUGGAACUGAGACACGGUCCAAACUCCUACGGGAGGCAGCAGUAGGGAAUAUUGCGCAAUGGGGGAAACCCUGACGCAGCAACGCCGCGUGGAGGAUGACACUUUUCGGAGCGUAAACUCCUUUUGUU